GAUGAACGCUAGCUACAGGCUUAACACAUGCAAGUCGAGGGGAAACGGCAUUGAGUGCUUGCACUCUUUGGACGUCGACCGGCGCACGGGUGAGUAACGCGUAUCCAACCUUCCCAUUACUGUGGGAUAACCUGCCGAAAGGCAGACUAAUACCGCAUAGUCUUCGAUGACGGCAUCAGAUUUGAAGUAAAGAUUUAUCGGUAAUGGAUGGGGAUGCGUCUGAUUAGCUUGUUGGCGGGGUAACGGCCCACCAAGGCUACGAUCAGUAGGGGUUCUGAGAGGAAGGUCCCCCACAUUGGAACUGAGACACGGUCCAAACUCCUACGGGAGGCAGCAGUGAGGAAUAUUGGUCAAUGGACGGAAGUCUGAACCAGCCAAGUAGCGUGCAGGAUGACGGCACUAGGGGUUGUAAACUGCUUUUGUAUGGGGAUAAAGUUAGGGACGUGUCCCUAUUUGCAGGUACCAUACGAAUAAGGACCGGCUAAUUCCGUG
rnacentral:rRNA from 1 species